AGGGUUCGAUUAUGGCUCAGGACGAACGCUGGCGGCGUGCCUAACACAUGCAAGUCGAACGGAACUGUUUUGAAAGAUUUCUUCGGAAUGAAUUUGAUUUAGUUUAGUGGCGGACGGGUGAGUAACGCGUGGGUAACCUGCCUCAUAGAGGGGGACAACAGUUGGAAACGACUGCUAAUACCGCAUAGUAAGAAAGAUUCGCAUGUUUCUUUCUUGAAAGAUUUAUCGCUAUGAGAUGGACCCGCGUCUGAUUAGCUAGUUGGUAAGGUAACGGCUUACCAAGGCGACGAUCAGUAGCCGGCUUGAGAGAGUGAACGGCCACAUUGGGACUGAGACACGGCCCAA
rnacentral:rRNA from 1 species